rnacentral:rRNA from 1 species
AUCAUGAGUCCGCAUGUUCACAUGUAUUAAAGGUAUUCCGGUAGACGAUGGGGAGUGCGUUCCAUUAGAUAGUAGGCGGGGUAACGGCCCACCUAGUCUUCGAUGGAUAGGGGUUCUGAGAGGAAGGUCCCCCACAUUGGAACUGAGACACGGUCCAAACUCCUACGGGAGGCAGCAUG